rnacentral:rRNA from 1 species
UACGGGGGGGGUAAGCGUUGUUCGGAAUUACUGGGCGUAAAGGGCUCGUAGGCGGCCAACUAAGUCAUACGUGAAAUCCCUCAGCUUAACUGGGGAACUGCGUGUGAUACUGGAUGGCUUGGAUUUGGGAGAGGGAUGCGGAAUUCCAGGUGUAGCGGUGAAAUGCGUAGAUAUCUGGAGGAACACCGGUGGCGAAGGCAGCCUUCUGGGCCAACACUGACGCUCAUGCACGAAAGCGUGGGGAGCAAACAGG